CCUCUCAUGGCGUAGUGGUUAACGCGCCCCAACUAGAGAUCGGGGAGUCGUGAGUUUGAUUCUCACUGAGAAGA
rfam:Aedes aegypti strain Liverpool supercont1.479 genomic scaffold, whole genome shotgun sequence.